GCCAGGUGUGGUGCACACCUCUUGUCCUUGCUCCUUGGGAGGCUGAGGCAAGAGGAUCAUUUGAGCCCAAGAGUCUGGGCUAUCAUGUGCUGUGCCGAUUCGGUGUCUGCACUAAGUUCAGUGUCAAUAUGGUGACCUACUGGUAGUUGGGGACCACAAAGUUGCCUAAGGAGGGGUGAAUCAGCCAAGGUCAGAAAUAGAGCAGAUCAGAGUUCCGAUGCUCAUUUGGUAUGAUCAUGCCUGUGAAUAGCCUGGGUAACAUAGUAAGACUCCAUCUCUAAAAAGAUAA
ensembl:misc_RNA Metazoa_SRP Metazoan signal recognition particle RNA